rnacentral:lncRNA from 1 species
UAUCUAGAUCUACUCUAGUUUAGAGAAGAGAGGAGAGCUCUCAUCUCUAAACCCUAGCUUUUGCUCUGUCUAUGAAUAAUGAAUAAUGAUCAAGGGGUGCCUCCUCUAGGGGCCAGGGGGUCUAGUUAUAUAGUCCCCUCAAGUGAAUAUGGGCCGUUGGAUCAAACCGACGUAGAUUGAACGGUUAUCCUUGAUCCUUUAGGUCGGUGGAGAUCUCCCGAGAAACAGAGUCCUGUUUGGACUCCAACAGAGGGCGGGCGCCCUGCCUCUGGCCUCUCUCGGUCUCCGCUUCCUUCCCGUGGCAUCUGGAGUCUUCUAGAUGGUAGAAAAUUGCGCGGCACGUUAAUAUCUCUAUGUAAACCCGACAUGCGGGCCUUUCUUCUGUAUUUCCUGAUAACCCCCUGUAGAAAUAGACAAACACCAAAACUCGUGGAAUUCUGUCAGAUAAAACCCUAAGUCUAGAUGUUGAUUUCAUUUGGAUCCUUUUUUUUGUUUAUUUGAUAAUUAAAUUUGAUACUUAAGGACUGUCAACAAACUCCCCCAAGCUUACCUCUUGCUCGUCCCUGAGCAAGGAUAGACUCAGCAAUGGAUCAGAAGUUGUUGCAAUAUCUUAAAAAUUUGACGGUACACAUGCUUUUAAAUAAGAUCUCAUCUCUGAGUGAGAGUAAACUGUCAAGAACUAAAACUUACUUACUUUACCUUUCACCAUGGGACUUGUAACCGUCACUUCUGUCUUGAGUAGUUAAAAGAUAGAACAGUCUAGCCAAGUGCCAUGUCUCUUAUUCUUGAUCAGCUAUAACUCUGGAGUUUUUGCAGAUUUUCAAAUAAAACUCAGAGAUUCCUUGUAUGACUCUCUAAAUCUCUCUUUUGUGGUAUUUCUGGAUCCUUACCAAGGUAGUGAUGGUAUAUGCCUUCUCUCAAGAUAUGUGGUAUUUGUUAUAUAAGACAUAGUGACAUUGCCUUCUCUCUCACCCUAUUCUAAUAAGGCUUUAAUAUCUGGAGCUCAUAGGUGGGAGAUAAAGUAUACAUACUUACAAGACAUUUAUUGUAUAGUCAAACCAUGGAUCCAAAGAAACAAAACAAUAAGCCAAAUCAAGAUGUGCAUGUGUGGCGAAUGAAUAGUGUAUGGUGAUGACGGUGAUAACAAUGGUGAAAGUCUAAUUCUACUUUUGCUCUUUUGAGGGGAUACAUACCUUCCUUGCUUUUUGAAACUUUAUGAGGAGAAUGAGAUGCUCUUCUUUUUCUUUCCUCUCAGGUGGGUAUCUUGUACCCCUAAUUCUACUGUCGGACACUUGUCCAUUUUUACCUCUCGUCUCACUUUUUCUUUCUUUCGAGGUUCCGGGCACUUGCCCCUUUUUAUUUCCUCGUAUAUUUUUUUUCUUCUUUUCUUCUCUUUUCUUUUUUUUAGAGCACUCAUCUCUUGAGAAUAUAGCAAGUGGUAGUAACAAGAUAACUUGAGCAUUUAUUUCACAAGGGAAAACAGAAAUAUUUUUGGCUAUUCUCUUCCGGAUUAGGAGUAGAAUAUUUUUGGGUGGUUCUGGAGAUGGACAUGGAUGGAUAUAUGUGGAUGGUACUUCCGGAGUAGAAGUAGCAUAUAUGAGUGAACGUGCAAGUGAAUCUUGAUUUAACCACAUGACAAGCUCCUAAGGGUCUACACAGCUUGACUACACUCAAUGCUCAUAAGCAGUAAAUAUUAAAUGUGUGGCUCAAAGUCUAGCAAGCAUGUAUAUAUGGCUGUGGUAGGAAUUUAAACUCUCAUCAUACAGGAACUCAUCAUGCAAUGUUUGAAAGAUUUUUCAAAGAUAAAAUUCUCCAGAAUUCUAGCAUCUCUAGGAACAGAUAAACAGCAGCUCAACCUUCCCAUAUCAUAUCCGUUAACAACUUAGAUUUCAGAUCAAGUUUUCAUCCCACAAGUUUAGAUCUAGAGCAAGCUUUAAAUUAUAACAGUUAUGUCUAAACUUGAGAGAGAACUUCAAAUUUGUAAAUUAGGCAGAGCAACUAUUCAUCAUAUCCAUGCCAGAGUUUUAUUAUUAAGAUUCAGAUUAGCAUAGCUACUUUAUUUAUUUAUUAAACACACUAAGCAAAAGAUAUAUAUAUGUAUAAGCACAAAAUCUUUAUUUGGUUUUUCAUAGUUUAUGUAUUUUAAUAUUCUAAAAUAAUAUAAGUAUAAAGAUAGGUAGAAAUACUUAGCGAGAUAAAUGGGGGUGCUCUCCCCCAAGCUGAAUUUUGACGUAAUUUCUCUUGAUGUAGCUAGCAGGUGGCAGAGGUGUAUUUGAAAGUCAGCAGCAUUCUGACAGCGAUUAGAAUGUCCUCCGUCUGCUAGUCUUCUUGAUUCUUAAAUCCUGUGGAGCUCAAAUAGACAACAAAGCUUGUGGAACUGAUUAAGUGUUAGCAUAAAUAUCUAGCCUUUAUCAUGUUGAGACUCCUUAACAAUUAUUACUCUCUAUUUUUUUAUAUUUUCGUUUUAUAAAGGAGAAAAGAAAUAUUUAUUUUGUUCUUAUGCCACCACAGUGAAUGUACUUAUGGGUUUCAUGCCACGAGCAUAGUCACAUGGGGCUUACUAUUCUUAACAUUUUUAUUUUUCUUUUCAAGAUAGCAUGAUUAACUAAUAAUCUAUUUAAGGAAAGUAAAUAAUUAAAGGGAAAAGGGAAUACAGAAAGGAUAAAUAUGGAUAACUAACGAUUUUACCUUUCGGCGAGGGUUCAAUGUUUUAAGUCUUCUGAACAAGACUUCUCACCGUGUUCAUUCUUCAGGUGCGUCAUUUGAUUCAGGUGCGGACCUUGACGUCUGUACCUCUUCGUUUGCCUAGCAGUUUGAAGUGCGGCGUUGGCAGUGUCCUGCUCAGUGUGUUUGUACUCGUAGAUCCAGGUCGUUCACUUGGUAGAGUCUGAGAGUUAUAAAACUCCUUCGUGUUUUGCUCGAAGUGUACCUGCUCACAGAGACAAGGCAGAGAUCAAGUGCAUGGGUCCUGUUGGUGGAAAACACCAACAGAACCUAAAGUAUAUUUGUUCUUCUCUAACCCUAAGCAUAGUGAGCUAGACAAAGUUGAUGGAUGAAAAGUUCAUGAGUGUAGCACUUAUAACAUUUGUCAGAUCAGAUCACUCAACCUUAUGGAAAGAUAAUCUAUCUAUGUAUAUGUCUUUUUCUUUAUAUCUCUCAAUGAUUGAAUGUGUAACAUUUUAGCUCAUAUGAUUAGGAGUGUGGGAUCAUGGAGGUAGUACUAAGAACAAGGAUUAAAGGACUAAACUUGUUGAAUCAGUUGGGUUGGUUAAUCUAGAGUUGUAAAUCAUACAUGUUUGUCUCUUUUAUUUAUAUGAACGCCAGAACCAAGGAGAAGCUUAUAAAAGUGAUAGUCAAGUACCUUAAGAUGUUACCUUGCUUCAAGAGUGAUGGUACAGUAUCACCUUGUGGAGGCUUUCCUUUCUUAGCGGUUGUGCAUCGUGUUUGUGGCACCCUCCAUGGAUCAUCUCUCUAUGAUGAAUGAGCUAUGCCCUUCUUGUGCAAAUUGUUAAACUUCAUGUGUCACUCUCUUCGUCUCUGAUGUGAGUUUAUCUCAGGACUUCCCAAAUCGAUAUUGAAAGUUUUUCUGCAGGGGUUAGUCCGACAAAAAUAUACCAAUGUCUACACAAGCAGUUUUUAGUUCAAUAACCGAACUAGACUCCAUGUCUAAUCAGAUUAAGGAAGGCUGUUUAACCUAAGCACCAUGCUUAAUUUAAAAGCCAAUAGAAGUAUGUGCAGUACUUCCAAACUAACACUUACUAGUAAAUAGACAAAGGUAACAUGACAGCAUUUAUAGAGAUCUACUCAAGUGGAAAUGAAGUAGUGUGAUUAGUAUUUAACAAAUUGAGCAUGUCUUAAAGGUAGGGACAACCAACAUAGCAACAUGGCAAAGGAUGUUUUUAUGUAAAGUACUCCCCCAAGCUUGAACUUUGCAGAAUUCAAGUUUGGAUGAAUUUAAUUCAGUGUUGCAUGAUGAUUGGUUGGACAUACCUUGUACUUGCUUGUCAUUCAUCUGAUCUUCUUGUUCCAAUCCUGGAAAGGUUAGUGACAAGAAUACCCGAAGGAAUAUUUUUACAAUUAUCCUUAUAUGCUCAAUACACAAGGUAAUGUUGCAAAUAAUUAAAAACUCAUGUUAUGAUCUGAUCAGUGCUUAUUUUAGGACACUAAGCUUGUCCUUGGGAAACCAUCAAUUUAUGUCAGCGAAGUGGUUUCCCUUCCAACGCUGACCUAUAUCAAGAUUAGCUCUACGAGAUCUACAAUAUUUAUUAUAGACAUAUGCAUCGACAACCGCCCUUUUAAAGUUUUUAUAAAUAGAAAGGAAGAGGGGGUUGGAGAUCUCAAAUGUGGUGAUGUUGGAGAGACCAAUAGAUUGGGAAGAUGUUGCAUAUGAGCAUGGAGUAGACGAAGUGGCUAUGAAAUAAUUUCCAUGCUCAUUAAUGUUAUCUUCGCCUCCAAUAUGAAUGUUCGGAGUUUCUCCUGGAUUGGUCUCACCUAUGUCAUCUUCUGUAGUUGGAUGAAUCUCAUCUUCAAAAGGAGUCAAGAACUCACCAUUUGAAAUUGAGCCAAAGUUAGAAUCCAUUAAGGCUUCUUCCUUGUCCAUCCAUUCUACACAUUCCAGCCAUUUUGAACUUGUGAUCAAGACAGGGGAGCUGAUAGAAUCUUCUCUAUGGCUUAGCUCUCCUUCUAUGCCAUCCUUAUGGUCUUCAUGACUCCUAUGGUUUGGUUGUCUUGAUGGACUGCUAGGAUCAUCAUGAGACUUAAAAGGAGAGGGAUAAGAGGGGUCUCUAAGGUCAAGGAUGGAUUUAGAACUUGUGAACAUGGAAGGGGAGCAGAUAGAAUUUUCUAUAUGGCUUAGCUCUCCUUCACUUGAUAUGUCAUCCUCGACUUCUUCAUAACAGGAACCAGGACAUUCUCUAAGAGAACCAUUAUUCCGAGGAUUUGAAUUAUCCAUGCUUGAUGGUCUCUUAUGGAACUAGAAGUCUAAACCAUCAGCAUCUGAAAGAUUUAAGGUCGGAAUUCCUUCCUCCCUUGGAGAAUUUUGGGGUAUUGAUGGUUUAGGAUCGAUAGCUAAAGUUUGGAAUUGAAGUGGUUGUGAUCUGGCUAUCGAAACUUUUUCUUCUUGUCUAGGAACUGGUUCUGUCUCUUUCUCAGGGAUAUAAAUGCUAGGAGACUUUCCACUUAAUAAAUCAAUCAAAUUCCAAGCUUCACUAGCAGGUAGGUGAUAGAAGGAUCCUCUAGAGGCUGUAUUCAAGGUUUGCUUAUUUUCCCCACUAAGGCUCUCAAAAAAGUGAAUUAGAAGAACUUCUUCUGGAAUAGCAAGCUUUGGGCCAGUGAGAGUAAGGUUAAUAAAGUGGUCCCAUGAUUUCCUAAGAGAUUCUUCUUCUAGUUGUCUAAAAGAAAUAAUCUCACGCCGAAGUUCCGCCACUUUGGAGGUUGGAAAAUAUUUAGAAAGAAAACUACUAUAUAACUCCUUCCAAUCUCCAUGAACACUCCCUAUUUUGAGUUUGUACCAAUGUCUAGCUUUUCCUGUUAAAGAGAACGGAAAGAGCUUCCAUUUAAGGGUCUCAUCGGACAUUCCUUCUAUGCGAAGGAGGUCGCUGACUCGAUAAAACUCUCUUAGGUGUGUGUAUGGGUUUUCCUCACCUUCUCCUGAGAAAGGUUGUUUUUGAACAAAUUCUAUGUAUUCGGGGUCUAUCUCAAAACUAGAUGCUAUGAUAGGCUUUGAAGAUUUUGGUGGUUCGAGAUGCGUGCCCGUAGGUCUAUGAAAUUCAUAGAUAGACAUGUUUGAAUUCAUGAUAGACCAGAGAUCAAGGAUUAGAUAAGAAGAAAGAUUAGCAGAGAUGAGGCAAAGGAUAAAAGGAAUAUAUAUAUAUAUAUAUAUAUAUAUAUAUUAGAAAAUGAUUAAGCUAGUUCGUAGUCAACUCAGCAACCGUCUCCCCGGCAACGGCGCCAAAAAUGCUUGUUGACACUUGCUAACACCACUUGAAUACUAGGUUGUCAUCCCCAGCAUGGCACUAGAGUGUACUAUGGUAUUUAUACGCACACAGAUAAUCCGCAAGCGCACGGAUACCGUUGAAGCUUUUACCCGGUUAAAGGUUUUAUCGUAUCCACAGGGAAACGGGAGAACUGAUCUACGCUCUAAAUUAACCAAGAUAAGUAAAUAGGUGUAAAUAGUUAAGAUGGUAGAAUCGAAUAAGAACAAUAUUAAAGGUAAGAUAACAGUGAGUGAUAAUAUGGGAAUAGAGAGUAGAGCAAUCUAAUAUAUGGGCGAUGGUAGCAGAAUAGAGAGUAUAACUAUGGUUUCUCUACUUCAAAGGGGUAUGUCUAUGUCUGGGACGAACCACGUGAUAAGAUUACACCACAAAGGAUGCUUAUCCAUAGGCCGAUAAACCCUACCCGUCCUGCUAACGAGAGGUGGACUACAGAGGACCAACGUAACUGUCACCUACGCGGCCUACCACACGAUCCAGCUAGACAGGGGAUAUCCACAAGUAAUCUAGGUCUAAGCACCACGCUUCCACCUAUACUACAACUCUAACCUAUAGUGUCCUAUAGAUUAGAAGUACUAAAAAGAGUUGUGAACCAGAACAUACAUGAUUAGUAAAUGCAUAAUGAAGUAGAAGUAGAUUACCAGAGUCAUCCCAUGAGCAAGCUUGAUUAGAGCUUGAUCAUGACGAAGUACAACCGGAGGAAGAACCGACAGGCCGGCCUCUCCUCUAAUCCUCCUUCGCUCUCCAUCUCGCUACUAUCUAGAUCUACUCUAGUUUAGAGAAGAGAGGAGUGCUCUCAUCUCUAAACCCUAGCUUUUGCUCUGUCUAUGAAUAAUGAAUAAUGAUCAAGGGGUGCCUCCUCCAGGGGCCAGGGGGUCUAGUUAUAUAGUCCCCUCAAGUGAAUAUGGGCCGUUGGAUCAAACCGACAUAGAUUGAACGGUUAUCCUUGAUCCUUUAGGUCGGUGGAGAUCUCCCGAGAAACAGAGUCCUGUUUGGACUCCAACGAAGGGCGGGCGCCCUGCCUCUGGCCCCUCUCGGUCUCCGCUUCCUUCCCGUGGCAUCUGGAGUCUUCUAGAUGGUAGAAAAUUGCGCGGCACGUUAAUAUCUCUAUGUAAACCCGACAUGUGGGCCUUUCUUCCGUAUUUCCUGAUAACCCCUUGCAGAAAUAGACAAACACCAAAACUCGUGGAAUUGUGUCAGAUAAAACCCUAAGUCUCGAUGUUGAUUUCAUUUGGAUCCUUUUCUUUGUUUAUUUGAUAAUUAAAUUUGAUACUUAAGGACCAUCAACAGUGACAUCCGGGCGCAUCGCUGUUGUUGGGACCAAAGUAUUCGAGUUAUCACCUUUGCUGAUAGUAAGGUGAAAUCGGCUGGCACGCCUUAACGUUUAAAUCGGAUAUUAGCCCUUUGUGUUUGCAGAUCAGCUUUUGCAUCAACAGCAGCGCUGACAGCAGCGCAAGCGAGCGAGAUCAGACAGCAGCUUUCAAUCUUGCAAGCGGAGAUCCAAAGCAUGCAACCUCCACCGCAACCGACGGUCCAGCCCGCGGCUUUACCCAAUGACAGUCCGAUGGUGAACGUGCAACCAGUGAACUACAGUGGCACACUACAGAGCACUCUGGACCUUCGCUCCCCUUUGUCCGAAGGAUUGCAGGCCUCGCCCUGGCCAGCUACCUACAAGCCGAUCACCCUCCCCAAGUUCAAUGGAAAGACAGACCCUCGUCAGUUCCUGAUGAGUUUUGAGGCAGCAGUAGCUUCCGUACGGGGAAUGAAACUGUAAUGGCAAAAUAUUUUGUGAUCGCAACCGAAGGAGAUGCAUUGGCAUGGUACUCAAUGCUCAGGCCUGGGUCAAUUUACUCAUGGGAGAACCUCUGGGACAAGAUUCUAGCAAACUUCCAGGGAUUCACAGCUAAAUCAGUGACCUCCACGGACCUGUUCCAGUGUCGGCAGAGUCAGGAAGAGGCACUGCGGGACUACUUUCAAAGGUUCGUGCAGACCAAGGCAAAGGCACUCGGCAUGCCGGAGGAGGUUGCCAUAGAGGCAGCCAUUAAAGGCCUUCGCAUAGGGCUCUUCACGGCUCACUUGGCCAGGGAAAAGCCGACAUCCAUGCACGAGCUGUACCACGAGUUUGAGAAGUAUUGCAAAUCGGACAACGACUUCCGCAAAAGGCUGGAGGAGCAAAACUCUCAGAAAAAGCAGGUCAACGACCGAAACUUGCAGAAGAAGAACCUUAGCCAAGAUGGGCGUCGUCCUCAGCAGGAAGCUGGUGGGCAGAUGAUGAAGAUCGAGCAACCGAGAAAUGACAAGUCGGGGCAGAACCACCCACCAGCGGAAGCACGAAACUCAGGACGAGGAUUUAACCAAGCUGGAGGAGGUCAGAACAGGGGGUGGCAAAAGAAUCAGAAGCAGCGACAACAGAAGCAAUACUGUUUCUUCCAUGGGGAAGAGAAAGGUCAUUCGACCAGGGACUGCCCAGACGCCAAAGAGACCCAGGAAAGAAUCAAGAACAGGUCGGCACCGCAGCCUCCAUCGUUAGUCAUUCAACCAAGGGAAGUGAACCAUCACAGCUCAAGUUUAGCCUGCCACUUUAGCCUCUGCUUACUAUCCCAGCUUCCUACCGGCCUGGCACCCAGCGCAGCAACUUGCAGAGCAAGGCCAUCACCGACAUGAAGUUGCCCCUACCUAUGCGCCCCCCAACCCCCACAAAUCACAUCUAUCGAGACCACGCAGCCUCACCAGCAAUCACUACCCCUCCACCAAACCAACUUCAGUUACUCCAAGCUCCACCACCACCAAAACCAGAACCUCACCCCGACAAUCAGAUCGGCCCCCAUACACCGCUGCCCACAAUCGGAAUGAUCUUGCUGAUAGCUGGAGGGUCCUUAAUGGAGUUCUAGACCAAGAAGGAGAAGGACUACCUUCGUCUGGUCAACAACAUUGCAGUGCAAGGCCUAGUCCGCUGCACCGAUUGGUCUAGAACCCCAAUAACCUUCUCCGAAGAAGACCUAAGGUUGGAAAGUUACCCACACGCGGACGCGAUGGUCAUAACGGCGAACGUUGCGGGAUGGGGGAUCAACACGAUCUUGAUAGACUCAGGAGUGUAGACAUAAUAUUUGCUAGAACCUUCGAUCAAAUGAAGCUCAGCCGAAUCUAGCUCCAACCUUCGUAAUCACCUUUGAUUGGGUUCGGGGGAAAACAGAUACACGCUCUGGGCAAGGUUGCCCUACCAGUAUCCUUCGGCACCGUGGAAAACGCGAGGACUGAGUAUAUUACCUUUGAUGUGGUAGAUUUGCACUACCCAUAUAACGCCAUAUUCGGGCGAGGGUUCUUGAACAGAUUCAAUGCGGCUGCUCAUAUGGGGUACCUGUGCAUUAAAAUCUCAGCCUUGCACAGGGUGAUCACUGUUCACGGAAGUCAAAAAGAAGCGAGAAACAUAGAGAAAGCAAUCUACAAGUCUUUCCAAAACAUAAACUCUGUUGACUCCACGCAAGACGAAGAUUACCAACCACCAGACAUGCCGAAGGAAAAAACAGACCUAGCUGAUCAGGAGGAAACGAAAUGUGUCCCUCUGGAAGAGGCUGUGCCGGAUAGGAAAGUCACCAUAGCAGAAGAACCAGGACAUCUUUGCUUAGAGUGCCUCUGACCUGCAGGGAGUCAGAAGAGACAUCAUACAACAUUCAUUGGACAUCGACCCAAGGAUGAGGCCAAAGAAGCAGAGGCAGAGGAAGAUGUCUGAGGAGAGAACCUUAGCAGCCAAGGCAGAGGUACACAGACUUCUGGACGCAAAUGUCAUCAGAGAAAUUAUGUACCUCGAAAGGCUGGAAAAUGUAGUCUUGGUCCCCAAGAAGAAUGGCAAAAUGAGAAGGUGUAUAGAUUUCACAGACCUCAACAAAGCCUGCGUCAAGGACUCCUUCCCCUUGCGAAGGAUAGAUGCCUCUGUCGACAAAGCCGCCGGCUGCUAGAGAUUCUCGUUGCUGGAUUGCUUCUUGGGAUAUCACCAAAUCUGGCUCAAGAAGGAAGACGAGGGCAAGACAAGUUUCACAACUCCGUUCGGGACAUAUUGCUAUACCAGAAUUCCCGAGGGUCUCUAUUUAUAUUUGGGAACGCAAUAAGGAAUUGAUCCGCAAGCGCACGGAUAUCGGUGAGCACUUCACCCGGGAAAUUAUCCAGAGUAUCGUAUUUAUUUUUUUACCACUAGGAGAAAGAGUGCAUCUGACUAACCGGUCUAUUACUACUAACCUUUAGGCAACAAAGAAUGUCUCUCGAUGUGAGUGAUAAAUAGAGAAGACUGCAACCGUAGUCUCCUUCUAACCUUGGUAAGGAUGAUCUACUAUUCUAUUGGGGAGGCUAACGGAAUCUAGACACCACAAAGGAUGUUCAACCCGCACCUAUAAACCCUAUCCUUCCUGGUAACGAGAUAUGGUCUGCAAAGGUAACUCGGAAUUGUCACGUUCCUCACUACUACCACGGUCCAGCUAGUCAGGGAAUAUCUAUGAGUACCCCAGCCUAAACACCACGUUUAUGCCAGCAAUGAUUACGCUAAACUCUAUGCGAAGAGAUUAAAGUAAACUCAUAAACCAUAAGAACAAUAAAACAAGAACUUACUAGAAUUUAGAAGUCGAAAUACUGAAGAAUCCUAGGAGCAAGCUUCGGGUUAGGAGAACUUGAUCCCGCAGGUACAAGCUUGGAGUAGACACCGACAGGCCGGGCUUCCUCCAAUCUACACCUCCACUCUAUCUCUCUCAAUCUAGUAGAAACUAGAAGAUCUAUUUCUACUUUACAUUGGUUGCUAAGCCUAAAAAGAAAUAUUAAUUAGAGAAGAGGUUUUCCUUCGAGGGCACCCCUCAAUCUCUAUGAUAAUUUCUUGUCCUCUCCAGGGGCCAGGGGGGUCUCCUUAUAUAGUCCUCCUCCUCUAUGCGUUUUUGGGUCGGUAGGCGAGGUGGUACUAUGUUUUCCUUGAUCCAAUAGGUCGGUGGAACAUCCCGUGCGAAGAGAGUCCUGAUUGGCAGGUCACCAGGGCGGGCGCCCUGGGCCUGGCCCCUUUCGGCCUCUGCCUUCUUCCCGUGGCUUCUGGAGUCUUCUAGAUGGUAGAAAAUCGCGCGGUGCGUUGAUAUCUCUAUGUAAUCCCGACAUGUGGGCCUUUCUUCCUUAUUUCCUGAUAACCCCUGCAGAAACAGAUAAACAACAAAAAUCGUGGAAUUCUAUCAGAUCAAACCCUAAUUCUAGGUGUUGGUUGCAUAUUGGUCCUUUCUCUUGUUUAUUUGAUAAUUAAAAUUGAUACUUAAGAACCGUCAACAAAUACCCCCAUACUUAGGCUUUUACUCGUCCUCGAGAAAAGGAUGGUUAAGAACAAUAUCUGGGGUAAAACAUUUUAAAGCAUUCUAUAUUUGCAGGGUGUUAAAAUUCCACUGUGUACCAUAGUCAGGGAUGUUUAUGGUUAAGAGUAAAGAUCCUUUCUUCUCAAUCCUGUCACUUGGAGUUUUUGUAUAUUUUUGAAAGAAAAUUAGCAUACCUUUUUAUCCUCAUAGGUUCUUCUCAGAUCACUCAUUAUCUUUUAUAUAUCUCACUGAGGUUGUUUUAAUUUGCAAAAAUUUCUCAAGCAUACUUACUUUGCAUUUAUUGCCUGAUCAAAACGGGAUCCGAGGAGGAGAAUGUCAUACUCUUAGAUCAAAGACUUUGGAAAUUAAAAUCUUUGUCAACUCUUGCUGGCAUAUUGCUUAUUAGAGGGACCAUGGGCUAUCAUUUUUCUCUUCUUCUCUCUUUUUUUAAGUGGAUACCGAGGUACCCCUAAUUCUACUACCGGACACUUGUCCAUUUUUUCUGCGAGGUUGUCGAGCACUUGCUCCUUUUUAUUUCCUCGAAUUAUCUCUAUUUUUGCAUAGCCCAUGCCUCUAAUGCAAUAAUACUUCGGAAGAGUGAAUCUUUCUGAAUAAAUGUCUUGAUCUUAGGAGCAUGAUAAAUCUCUCAACAAGGGUCUAACUCAUUUUGAACAAACUCAAUACAGAGUAGAUAGCUUUUAUAAUCAUAAUUAGUAUUUUCAGUUUUUUCAGGCAUAUAAAACACUGAGGAUGGUAGCUAGAAUUUUGAAUAUUUUGAAAUAAAUUCUCCAAGUAGCAAUGUAUCAAGAAUAAGAAACUCAUACUCUACCAUCACAUAUUCCAUAUUGACUUAAGUAACACAGGGUUUUAAAAUGAUUUUAUAAUAAUUGCAAGUUUUCAGGAAAUAUCACAGAUUGAGAUUAAUCAUGAUUAGAAAUAUUUUAAUCUUUUUAAUUUAUCAUGUUGGAAAGAGUAAUCUGCAUAAUCCAAAAUAUAUGUAUGUGUAAAGUAAAGUGAGCAGAGUGUGUACCUGAAUCGUGGAGUGGUGUGGUCGGAGUGUGUUUGGCAUGUCGAGGGAUCUCCCCCAUACUUGUUUUCUGCUUUCUUGCACAAAAAUAAAGUAAAGACACACAAGACAUAAUAAUAAUAAUAAUAAUAAUAAUAAUAAUAAUAGUAGUAGUAGUAGCAGCAGCAGCAGGAGUAGGAGGAGUAGGAGGAGCAGGAGGAGAGCAGCAGCAGCAGCAGCAGCAGUGUAGAAGGUCUAAUCUAGAUAACUUAGCGGCGCUCUAAUUCCUUAAUCUUCUUGUUGGCACUGGCAAGAUCCUGCCUAAGGCCUAGUAUAAUGGUGUUGUGGUUAGAGAGCUGCCUAGUGAGGGAAUUAAUCGAGGACUGGAGGUCUUUGAUAACUCUGUCUAGUCUGCGAACGUCCUCAUCAAUAUCCAUUAUAGUCUUGCGACGCUUGGGUGGUGUCUCAAAAGCAUUGAGAGCGUGCUUCGGGGCUGCCUUUGGAGGGAUGAAACGGACUUUGGCUGCUCUAAUCCCUUCAAAGUAAGGCCUUUCUUCCUCCGUAGUGUAGCGAAUACUACUGAUCUCGCCGCUCCGGUUGGUCUUGACUCCAACGACCCUCUCAUUGGGUCUAGGUGGAAGAAUCCUUGUGCCGGUUGGCACCUUGAUGGUGGUCUUCGUCUUGGAUGAUGAUCCUUUGAGGAGUAGGGGUUGUGGUGGUGCGGUGAGAACUGGUUGAGCAUGAUAGGAUUGGGCAGAGCUGCGUUGGCGUAAUGGCAUGGCUUCUAGCUGUCUUUCUGUGUUGGCCGGGACGAGAGCACGGGCAUCGGGGUCUUCCACAGGCUCCAUGUUGAGGUUGAAGGGGACGACUUCCCAAUCAUCGUGGUACUUCUUGGCCAUUGGAGCAUCAAGGAACUAAUCAAGCUCUAAUUGAAGGAGAGAAGGCUUGGUGGCUUGGUGUUUGAAAACUGAGGUCAGGGGUCUGUUUAUAUAGGGGUCAAAAAGUGCCUCUAUGGGUAGUUCAGGUUGCUCCCGUCGAUGUGCGUGCGAAACUUUCCAUCUGAGGGAUUAUUUGGAUUACCAUAAGUGCAUUUUCCAUAACAGAGAAAAUCGGGACCGAGGGGGAACAGGAGCUGGGCGCCCGCCCACCUGAUCUGGGCGCCCGCCCUCUCUCUGGCCCCUCUAUGGGCCCACUUUCUCGAGCGCGUUUUUAGAUGCGAAAUUAUUUAGAAAAAUAUAUAUAUGACCUAAAAACAUCAGAUUAAAAAGGUCGGACUCUAAUUCUCCAUGGGAAGGUAAAAAUAGACUACGUCUAUUUCUUCUAAUUCUUUAUUGGGCUCUAAAAAUAAUUUAAGAUGUUGACCAUUUACCUUGAAUAACGUACCUUCAUCACACUACAAGAAUCUUGUGAUUUUUUGAUUUUCUAUUUAUGUUAUUACAUAUGAAAAUAAUUUCACAACAUAAGAGUUGUGACAAUUAGUUGACAAAAAACUAUAUGUCAAAAAAUCACUAUCAUAAACGGAUCAUAUGACAUCUGUAUAUUCUUUGUCAUAAGGUAUGACAUUAGUUAUUUGUCAUAAUAUCUGAGACCUCGCCACAUGGCAAAAUGCCACGUAAGAUGAAAAGCUGACGUGGCGAUAACAUGGCACAUAAAAAUAAAUAUCAUAACAUCAAUUUUGGCCUAUUGAAGCCCAUAUAGCAACCAGGCACUUCAUGGGCCAAAUAAGCUCUUUUUAUAGGCUGAAAUUGUUGUGCCAUUUUGUUAAUUGCAGCCCAUUUAAUUUUUCAGCACUACAAUUUCAGCCCAUCUAUUUUUCAGCCCACUAAAUUCAAACCUUUUAAUUUUUUUUGUCCUAUGUAAGCCCAUAAAAUUCAACCCAUCAUACAAAUCACAACACAGCCCAUACAUCAUAGAAUUCAGCCAAUAUAGCUCAUACAUCACAGAAAUCAGCCCAUACAUCACAUAAUAUUAUCUCCAAAUCACCAGUCUUACAAUUCAAGAAUCUGCUGCUCGAACACAACAAGAUAUCACAAUAAUUUCACUCUAAUAGUCUUACGGUUCAAGCAACUAUAGUCUCAACUUUACAUAACAGUAGCGACGCAAUAGCGUAAUAGUGACAACAGCAGCUCAUAACAGCGGCAACAGAGCAGCGCACAACACAAAAUAGUCUUGCUGUAGUUAACAAAAUCAUCCUUCAUGUCUCUUUCUGUUUCUCUAACUGCUUCUCCAAAUCAGACUUGUGAUUGCAGUCCAGCUAAUCUCCAAAUUAGAAAUGAUGUUUAAUAAUCUAUAAGAAAAUCAUUUUUAGAGUCUAGCAGUUACGUAGUUACAUAAAGAAUUUUUGGUUGUUGGUGGUACUGAUAAAUUUACUCUAUUGCAAUUCAUUUCGCAAUGCACAAGAGAAACUCUUUAUAUAAUAUAAAACUGACAUAGAGAGAACCAAACUUUAUUAUUAUCUAAAGUGAAGAAAUUUGAGUAGCUAAAACAGGCUUCAUUAAUUCAUUACCUACUGCACGACUGAGAAGCAACUUGCAAUUAACUACUGCACUACUAUCUGCAACUUGCAAGUACUCCGAAGCUCGACAUGUGAAGCCAGUGUCAUGCAAAACAAAUCAAUUUCUUCAAACCUCAAAAGAAUAAAGCUUGGCCAUGUCGUGCAUGUGACCUGUGCUAGUGAUAAAUUGUUGAUACCUGAUGAUGAUGGGAGGUGCCUAGAGGAGGAAGGUCCGCCGGCUAACUAACCGUGCGGACAUGAAGGAGAGGAGCAGCACGCAUGACGCGUCUCGACCUGCAGGCUGCCGCACAAAUCCUGGCUGGGAAGCAUGUGGAGACAUCAGAACUGACAUGAACGAGAAAAAAGACUGCUCGCAAAAAAAGAGAAAAAAAGAUUUUACAGUAGCACAUCCAUGCAACUAGAUCUCCCAUCUCAACACUAGAUCUCCCAUUAUGCAGGACUAGAUGAAGAUCAAAGGCAGCGGAUCCAACAAAACAGCCUGGAGCCUGGAGCAAACAAUUACGCAGAAAGGUAAGAUAGAAAAGGAGAGAUGGUGGUGGCUACUCACGAAGACAUCGUCGCCAAUAUCAGAGAGGUCCUGCUUGGCCUCGCGGACUACGGCAAAGGGGAUCUCGGGAGCGCAGUCAGCUCCAGCCUGGCCAUGGGCACGUCCUGGCCACCACCGCCGCAUGGUUUCUCCCUGAUGCGCGGGCACUCGUGAGCGCUCGGUAGACACCACCGUCGCCGCCGCUGUUGCGUGUGAAGAGGAUGGGAGGAGAGAAUAGGUAGGGUUUGGAGGAGUCUGGGUGUCACCGGUUUUAACUGGUUGAGAGGUGAUAUGGAUCGUUCGAUCUAAUCGGACGGCUGACGAACAUCUGCUAGUAUACCACGCCAGUAUGGGGCACUGGAGAGUUAGCAGGCCAGGCCAGGCCAAUUGCAGCCCAGUUCAAGAGAUUGCUAGCCUGAAAAAAGUUUGCCUGAGCUGUGUAUGUUCAAUUUUUUUUGUUCUUUUAUAUAAUUAAGAAAUAUUUUAGAAACUAAAAUACGAAUCAUAGUAAUCAUGAUUAUGUAAACUCUAUAUGUCCAACGUAAAAUGUGAGUACAUGUUCCAUAUAAGUUUUCUUUGAAUAAUUCAUAAGUUGAUAAUUUCAAAACCCGAAAAAUUCAAAUAGAAAAUUUAUAUGAUCCAGUAUGGCCGCGUCCCAUGCCCCCGCCAUGAGCCCGUUGGCCGAGCGGCCGCGCCGGUGCCGGGUCCUCUCGAUCUCCGUGGCCGAGCGAGCGAGCGCCCACGCCGGUGUCCGCUCCUCUCGAUCUCCGGUGGCCGAGCAACCGACGUCGCCCGCGCCGAGCCCUGGUACCGCCCGGACCCGACGGUCUAGGCCACCUUCGUCUCCUCCGCGCCGACCUCCUCGCCCUCCGGUGAGGCCGAGGCCGCCGUGGACGCGCUCAUGGAGGCGUUGCUAGAGGAGAAGGUGCGCGGCGGCGGGUUUGUGGACGGGAAGGAGGACGUGUACAAGCUCACGAGGCUGUUGCGCGCGCUGGUGGCCAAGGCCAAGGGCCGCGCGGCGUGGAGGGUGUACGAGGUGGCCGUGAGGAAGGGAGGCCUUGACGUCGACGAGUACGUGUACAAGGUGAUGGCGCGGGGGAUGAAGCGGCUGGCCGGGUUGGGGCUUCACGAGGAGGCGGCGGAGGUGGAGGCCGACCUCGCCGAGUGGGAGGCCACGGUCUCGCCGCCCGCCUGAGACGUGCUCGACGAAAUGCGAGCGAGAGACGAGAGCAACAAGUAUUUUAAUUUUUUCAUAACACAUUUUGUGAGUUUUCUUUCUAUCUUUGUCCAGCAUCUUUGUUCAUAGAGCAACAAGUAUUUUUUUACUAUGUGACUAUGUUAAUUUCAUAAAGUUUAUUUUUUGAUUAAAUAUUAUUUUAACGUUAAUAUUUAAUUUUUAUAAUAUUGUUAUUUUAUCGUGCGAUCCAUGUAUUUUUAUUAUAAAUUGGUAGCUAUCCCGUAGCAACGCACGGACACGCUACCUAGUACACUAACUAAGCAAAACAACUUGCCUAGCUCAGUGGUAAGUCCCUUGCUUGGAUUGUAGGAGCGCAAGUUCGAGCCCUCCCUGUUACAAUUUUUUUUUUGAAAUGACAUUUUUCUGGGAUUGCAGCGCUUAGGAGCUGCGCGUGGCCCAAAUCAAAAGCAACAGAAAUCAGGCUGAGAAAAAAUAGGGCCUGCUACAAUUUCUUUUUGAAUUGGCAUUUUUCUGGGAUUGCAGCGCCUGGGAGCUGCGCGUGGCCCAAAUCAAAAGCAACAGAAAUCAGGCUGAGAAAAAAUAGGGGAAAAAGGAAAAAAACUACUCACGUGAAAAUUAGACAUGCCAACAUGAACAAGAGUAUUUUAAAUAUUUCUAAAAAUAUUUUUUGACACCCAACCUAUAUCCAUUUUUUUGACAUUUAUAAAUUAGGCCUCAUGACGUAGUGAAUAUUGUCAUAGUAUGGAAUUAGAAUAGUUCUAUGACAUUUAUUAUGACAUCGAGCUUUUUUAUGUCACUAGGUCAAAAUGCCUAUUACGGAAUGUCAUAAUCUGGAUUAUAUAAUGACAUCACAGUCUAUUGUCAUACUAAAUAUGUCAAAAAAUCACGCAUUUCUUGUAGUGUCAUUUUGAAGUGUGAUAGCUCCGUGGGAUGAUGAAUUAAUUACCUUGAAUGGUCCUUCCCAUUUGCUCCGGAGUUUUCCAUGCCCGAAAAGCUUCACCCUGGAAUUAAAAAGUAAUACCUUAUCUCCGGGUGUGAACUCCUUCCUCUUGAUUCUCUUGUCAUGCCACCUUUUGACUCUUUCUUUGUAGAUCUUUGAAUUGUGAUAUGCUUUCUCUCGCCAUUCUUCCAAUUCUGAUAGUUGCAUUCUUCUAUAAUCUCCAGCAACAUCAAGGUCCAUAUUCCAUCUCUUUAUGGUCCAGUGUGCUUUGAACUCUAGUUCAACGGGUAGAUGGCAAGUCUUCCCAUACACCAAUUGGUAUGGAGACAUUCCAAUUGGGGUCUUAUAUGUUGUCCGGUAUGCCCAGAGUGCAUCGGGUAACUUGUCUUUCCACGCCGUUCCCAUUUCAUUUUCUGUCUUCUGAAGAAUAUUCUUGAUUUGCUUGUUGGAAGUCUCUGCUUGGCCACUUGUCUGAGGAUGAUAGGGGGUAGCGGUUGUGACGGAUUCCAUGUUUUGAUAGAUAUUGCUUGAAGCGAUCACUUAUCACUACUCUGGGGACUCCAAAUCUUGGAAAUAUAAUUUCUUCAAACAUCCUCUUUGAACUGACGUUGUCGGCAUGCUUGCAAGGUAAUGCCUCUACCCACUUGGAGACAUAGUCAACUGCCACCAAGAUGUACUCACAUUUCUUUGAUGGAGGAAAUGGACCCAUGUAGUCUAUUCCCUAGACAUCAAAGAGCUCAAUCUGAAGGUUGUUGGUGAGUGGCAUUGCAUCCCUUGUAUUUAUGUUUCUGUGUCUUUGACAUGGCCCACAUCUUCUGAUAUAUUGCUUCGUGUAUUCAUACAUUGUAGGCCAGUAGAAUCCACACUGCCAGAUUUUUUGAAUGUGUACGGCUCCAUAGUGACCUCCAUAUGGUGAUGAAUGACAUCUAUCGAUGAUCUUCCAUCCUUCCUCAGUGGUCACACAUCUCCUGAGUAAGCCAUCAGAGCAUACUCGGAAGAGGUAUGGCUCAUCUCAUAUAUGUGAACGACUUUCUUGAAUAAGCUUCUUCUUGUUUGCUCCUGGUGGUACAUACCCUGAAACCAUAAAAUUAACAAUAUCUGCAUACCAGGGGUCAGACCUGUUAAUCCCGUAGAGCAUGUCGUCCCGGAGUGAAUCAUUGAUGGGGGUUUCCUGUGGACUCUUAAAAUACAUUCUAGACAAGUGAUUAGCAACAGAAUUUUCUACUCCCUUUUUAUCUUUUAUUUCUAAGUCAAAUUCUUGGAGUAAUAAGAUCCAUCUAAUCAGGCGAGGUUUAGCAUCUUUUUUAGUGAGCAAAUAUUUUAGUGCAGCAUGAUCAGUGUAAACAAUUAUUUUAGCUCCAACUAAAUAAGAUCUAAAUUUAUCAAUGGCAAAGACAACAGCCAGAAGCUCUUUUUCAGUGGUUGCAUAAUUAAGUUGAGCUCCUGUCAAAGUUUUACUGGCAUAAGCAAUUGCAUGAUGCUUCUUAUUUUUAGUUUGUCCCAAAACUGCCCCCACAGCAUAAUCACUGGCAUCACACAUAAUUUCAAAAGGCAACGACCAAUCAGGGGGUUGAAUGAUUGGUGCAGAGAUGAGUGCUUUCUUUAAUAAAUUGAAAGAUGUUAGACAUGCAUCAUCAAAUUCAAAAGGAGCAUCCUUGGCUAGCAAAAGAGUAAGUGGUCUAGCAAUGAAUGAAAAAUCUUUUAUGAAUCUACGAUAGAAACCAGCAUGGCCAAGAAAGCUUCGAAUUCCUUUUAUAUUCACAGGUGGAGGUAGUUGUUCAAUUACUUCAAUUUUAGCUUUAUCUACCUCAAUACCUCUUUCAGACACUAAGUGUCCCAGCAGUAUUCCUUCCCUAACCAUAAAAUGACAUUUUUCCCAAUUAAGGACUAAGUGCUUUUCUUCACAUCUUUGCAAAACCUUGUCUAAGUUUUCAAGACAACUAUCAAAAGUUUUUCCAUAAACAGAGAAAUCAUCCAUGAAAACUUCCAUAAUCUCUUCAAUCAUAUCAGAAAAUAUAGACAUCAUGCAUCUUUGAAAAGAAGCUGGUGCAUUACAUAACCCGAAAGACAUUCUACGAUAAGCAUAAGUUCAAUAUGGGCAUGUAAAAGUGGUUUUGCUUUGAUCAUUGGGAUGGAUCGGGAUUUGAUGAUACCCUGAAUAUCCAUCUAAGAAACAGAAGAACGAAUGGUUUGCUAAUCGCUCUAGCAUCUCAUCUAUGAAAGGUAAAGGAAAGUGAUCCUUUCUCGUGGCUUUGUUUAGUUUUCUAUAGUCUAUGCACAUCCGCCAUCCUGUGACGGUGCGUUGCGGAAUUAGCUCGUUCUUUUCAUUCAUAAUAACAGUCAUGCCUCCCUUUUUAGGCACAACUUGAACUGGGCUUACCCACUCACUGUGCGGCACAGGAUAUAUAAUCCCUGCAUGCAGCAACUUUAUAACUUCCUUUUUAACUACCUCUCUCAUAGUGUUAUUAAGUCUACGUUGGGGUUCUCGAGAGGGUGAAACAGAAGGAUCUGUUGGAAUACGAUGGGUACAAAUCAUAGGACUGAUUCCUGUAAGAUCUUGGAGUGAGUAGCCGAACACUGAGUGAUGUUUCUCAAGAAUGGUCAUUAAUCGCAGAGUUUGAUCCUGAGUGAGUUUAUCGCUAAUGAUCACAGGAAACUCUGGAUUAUUAUUUAGGAAAGCAUAUGUAAGACCGGGUGGUAAGGUUUUAAGCUCUAUGGGGGGUCUAGGUGUUUCUGCAUACUCAUCUAAGGGUUCAGGCUCAGAAGGUUCGGCUUCUUCUUCUGUGAAGAAAGGAGUUUCAUCUUCUAAGUCUGGUUCAUCUAAAAGCUCUAGAGAUGCAGCCUUUACCUCCUCCAUAGGAUCAGGCAAAAGAUAUGAUUCGGCCUUAUUGUUUAAGGAGUGUGAAAUUGUUAUUGGGAAUUUAAAGGUUUUUCCAAAAGAAAUGUGUAGCUUUCCAGUAUGACCUUCAUAAAGGAGUCUUCUAAAAGGUUGUCCUAUUAACAGGUCGAAGUCCCAUGUAUCAAAGAUAUAGCAGUUCAAAUGAACCAUGGAGCCUUCUACCGUAAGAGGUAGGACAUUAAUAAUUCCAAGACUGGGGACUAAUCGUCCCGAAGAUUCCUUUAUGACCUUUGUUGUGGGGGUUAAGGCAAGAUUUUUAAAUAGUUUAAGUGCAAAAGAUUCAGACAUGAUGUUGAUCCCCACAACAUGAUUAUAAAGAGCAUUAAAUCGAUCAGAAUUAUAAGCACAACGUAUAGUUAUAGAGGGUGUGUCCAUACGGAUCACAUCAGAGGAAAGCUCUGAUUCCUCCAACCAUUCGCUACUCAUUACUGAGAUAAGCUCUCUCAAUUGAUAUUCACUUGGCAAAUAAAUGCUAAACUGGCCGUUUUGGGGUUUGUCAAUAGAAUGGUAGUUUGAAAUAUUUCCAAAAUCGGCAAAAAGAUCGGAUUCUAUAUCCAGCAUGAAGUCCGGUGGUGGAAUUUCUUCCUCUUGUGGCUCAGAACUUGGGAUAGCUAAAGUAGAUGAAGAAUUUGGCAGAGUGUCUACUUUGGCUUCGUAGGUUUCAUCAUGAAGGGUAUUAUCCAUCUCAGCUUCUAGGAUUCUAUCUAGGAUCACUCUAGCUUCAUCAGUAGGGAUGCGAAAGAAAGAACCUCUAGACAUUGUGUGUAGCAUUUGUUUGUGAUUUUUCUAAAGACCUCAAAAAAAGUGAAUAAAAGAACAGGGUUUUCAAGAUUAAGGUUUGGACCAGAUUCCAAAAGAUCAGAAAAACGUUUCCAGGAUUUUCCCAAAGUUGCCUUCAAUGCGAAGACAAUCACAUGUUUGCUCAAAAUCUCUAAUAUGAAGGUAAGGGUUUUCAUCUUCCUUUCCCAAAAAAGAUAGGUUUUGAAUCAUGGCAAUCAACCUAGAACUUAACUUAUACUGGGAUGUUUGGAUAGGCUGUGAUGAUUCCCAUGGUAAAAGGUCAGUUACUGAAGGGAUUGCAGAUUCAUGAAUCGAUUUAGAAUUUUGGUUUUCCAUAAGGUAAGAGUAAAGAAAAUAAAUACAGAAUAUAAAAGAUAAGAAAAGAUAAAAGUAUAUAUACAAGCUAGUAGUAAGACUCAAGGUUAUCUCAGCAAACCGUCUUUCUCCCCGGCAACGGCGCCAGAAAUGCUUGUUGAUAUUUGGGAACGCAAUAAGGAAUUGAUCCGCAAGCGCACGGAUAUCGUUGAGCACUUCACCCGGGAAAUUAUCCAGAGUAUCGUAUUUAUUUUUUUACCACUAGGAGAAAGAGUGCAUCUGACUAACCGGUCUAUUACUACUAACCUUUAGGCAACAAAGAAUGUCUCUCGAUGUGAGUGAUAAAUAGAGAAGACUGCAACCGUAGUCUCCUUCUAACCUUGAUAAGGAUGAUCUACUGUUCUAUUGGGGAGGCUAACAGAAUCUAGACACCACAAAGGAUGUUCAACCCACACCUAUAAACCCUAUCCUUCCUGCUAACGAGAUUUGGUCUGCAAAGGUAACUCGGAAUUGUCACGUUCCUCACUACUACCACGGUCCAGCUAGUCAGGGAAUAUCUAUGAGUACCCCAGCCUAAACACCACGUUUAUGCCAACAAUGAUUACUCUAAACUCUACGCGAAGAGAUUAAAGUAAACUCAUAAACCAUAAGAACAAUAAAACAAGAACUUACUAGAAUUUAGAAGUCGAAAUACUGAAGAAUCCUAGGAGCAAGCUUCGGGUUAGGAGAACUUGAUCCCGCAGGUACAAGCUUGGAGUAGACACCGACAGGCCGGGCUUCCUCCAAUCUACACCUCCACUCUAUCUCUCUCAAUCUAGUAGAAACUAGAAGAUCUAUUUCUACUUUACAUUGGUUGCUACGCCUAAAAAGAAAUAUUAAUUAGAAAAGAGGUUUUCCUUCGAGGGCACCCCUCAAUCUCUAUGAUAAUUUCUUGUCCUCUCCAGGGGCCAGGGGGGUCUCCUUAUAUAGUCCUCCUCCUCUAUGUGUUUUUGGGUCGGUAGGCGAGGUGGUACUAUGUUUUCCUUGAUCCAAUAGGAUGGUGGAACAUCCCGUGCGAAGAGAGUCCUGAUUGGCAUCCAACAGGGGGCGGGCGCCCAGGUCACCAGGGCGGGCGCCCUGGGCCUGGCCCCUUUCGGCCUCUGCCUUCUUCCCGUGGCUUCUGGAGUCUUCUAGAUGGUAGAAAAUCGCACGGUGCGUUGAUAUCUCUAUGUAAUCCCGACAUGUGGGCCUUUCUUCCUUAUUUCCUGAUAACCCCCUGCAGAAAAAGAUAAACAACAAAACUCGUGGAAUUCUGUCAGAUCAAACCCUAAUUCUAGGUGUUGGUUGCAUAUUCGUCCUUUCUCUUGUUUAUUUGAUAAUUAAAAUUGAUACUUAAGAACCGUCAACAGUCUCAAGAACGCUGGAGCAACCUUCUCUAGAAUGAUGAAGAAGGUUCUGGGCAGCCAGCUCCAGAGAAACAUUAUAGCAUACGUCGAUGAUGUUGUUGUCAUGAGCAGAAACAAGGAGGAUCACAUCAGGGACCUGUAGGAAACGUUCGCUAACCUCAAGUCUGCCGGACUCAAACUGAAUCUAGAAAAAUGUGUAUUCAGGGUCAACAAGGGAAAAAUGCUGGGAUACAUUGUUGGCUCCGAAGGGAUCAGGGCAACCCAGAUAAAACCAAGGCAAUCAUGUCGAUGGCAGAGCCUUUGAGUAAAAAGGAGGUGCAGAAACUAACUGGCAGAAUAGCAGCCCUCAACAGAUUCAUUUCUUGAUCCGCAGACUGAAGCCUCCCAUUCUUCAAAGUGCUAAGGGGAGGAGAUAAAACAAAAUGGGGUCCGGAGCAAUUGGAGGCCUUUAGACAACUCAAAAGCUAUAUUGCAACCAAUCUGAUGGUAACUGUGCCCGAGCCAGACACUCCAUUACUGUUAUACGUGGCCCGCUUUCGAACACACGGUCAAUGCUGUCCUGGUGCACGAAACAAACGACCAUAGGGGAACGGUGCAAAGGCCCGUGUACUAUGUGUCUGAAGCUUUGUCAGGAGCAAAGUUGAACUACAUAGAAAUAGAAAAAAUCGCAUACGUAGUCCUGUCUGCAUUGAGGAAGCUCAAGCAUUUCUUCCAAAGUCAUGAGAUCAAAGUACCCACAUCACAACCUUUGGGUGAUAUCCUUAGGAACAAGGAGGCCUCUGGACAUAUAGGGAAAUGGGCAGCCGAGCUCUCACAGUUCGACAUCACCUAUGUCCCAAGAACCUCCAUCAAGUCGUAGGCGUUGGCUGACUUCGUGGUAGAUUGGUCACCUUCAAACAAAGAAGAGAAGAAGGUAGUCAACAUGCCGAGGACACUGUAUACAGAUGGCGCCUAGGAGCAAUCAGGAGCUGGAGCGGCUGCAGUUCUGAUCGCACCAUCAGGCCUCAAGCUAAAAUACGCCGCGAGACUCGAAUUCAGAGCAACAAACAACAUAGCCGAAUAUGAAGGACUCAUCCUUGGGCUGAACAAAGCAAAGGCCUCGAGAGUGUUGGGUAUUCUUAACAUCAUUACCAAAAGUAGACUAAGUUCUCUAAAUCUAGUAACGGUGCCAAAAAUGCCGAACCUAUCCCUCACACCACUUAAGCCAAGUUGUCAUCCCCAGCAUGACAUGAGAGACGCGGUAUUGAAAUAUGCAAUUGCUCUUCUAAAUAUAUAAUGAAUGGGAUCUGCAAGCGCACAGAUUAAUACCGAUGUAGCAUUUUAACUGGGAAGUAUUCCAGGUAUCGUUAUUUAUAGUUUUACCACUGGGAAGGGAUUAACAAUCAUCAAUAUUGAUUACAAAAUAGAAUAUGAGAUUGAGCAUCUAUCAUUGCAUGUAUAAUUGAGAACAUUAUAUCUAACUGUCACAUAAAGGAUAUAUGAAAUAAUGAAUAGUGACAAAGAUAAUUAAUCUGAUCUAGCCACAUAAUAAAUAUGAUAAGCACCUCAAUUAGAUACUCUAGAAAGUCAUUAGCAUGGUAUUAGAACGAACUACAAGAAUAUUCCCUAAGUUAUUCUCAACUAUAUAGUCUAGCAUUAUCAUAAUUAGUGCAAGCAUACUUAGCAACCAUUGCGAGACAAGACUACGCCCAUGCAUAGUGAUAUUAGCAAGGUAAAUGAGAAACAUAGCAAUCACUCCCCUCUAAUAAUGUUGCUCUGCCAGCCCAAUACACGAGAGGGGGACUAUAUAAGAAUCAAUGAAGCUGUCACUAUCACGAACUACCCCACGAUCUGGCAUAUUGGGUACAAUCGCAGAUAAAUACGGUAUAAGCACCAUGCCUACACAAUAUCUAUCAUUUACCCAUGGAUCCAAUGGAUAAACGCUAUACGAUCCUAAGCAUGUAUAUAGAUCCAAUCUAACUAAGCCAAGUACAUGACUAUGAUAAACUAAGAACAAUAUAAUCUUGAAUAUAAGCAAGUAGAGCAAAGUCAUUAGCAAUAUAUUGAAGUAGAACAAAGUCAUAUUCAUAAUACUGAAGAACAAAGAUAAUUAGAAGAACAAUUAGAAGCACAAUUAGAGAAUUACCAAGAAUCCUCUUGACAGAUCUGGAAACCAAUCGAAGAUUGAUUCCUUCUAGUUCUAAUCCUAUGUAGCUAUGCUAAUCUAGAUAUCUAAUUGAUGUGGUGGCUCUAAUCUUAAUCAGAGGCUUCUUCUCCCUUGAAGAAUAAUGAAUUAGGGUUGAGAGGCUCUCUCCUCCAGGGGCCAGGGAGUCUGGUUUUAUAGUCCCUUCAAGUGAAUAUGGGCCGUUGGAUCAAACCGACAUAGAUUGUAUGGUUUAGAUUCAUCCUUUAGGUCGGUGGAGAUCUCCCACGAAGCAGAAUCCUGAUUGGACUCAGGGAGAGGGUGGGCGCCCAGGGGAACAGGGCGGGUGCCCUGCCUCUGGCUCCGUUUCGUCUCCGCUUCGGUCUCGUGGCUUCUGGAGUCUUCUAGAUGUAAGAUAAUUGCGCGGCACGUUAAUAUCUCUAUGUAAUCCCGACGUGUGGGCCUUUCUUCUGUAUUUCCUGAUAACCCCCUGCAGAAAUAGACAAACACCAAAACUCGUGGAAUUCUGUUAGAUAAAACCCUAAGUCUAGAUGUUGAUUUCAUUUGGAUCCUUUUCUUUAUUUAUUUGAUAAUUAAAUUUGAUACUUAAGGACCGUCAACAAACUCCCCCAAGCUUACCUCUUGCUCGUCCCUGAGCAAGGAUAGACUCAGCUAUGGAUCAUAAGUUGUUGCAAUAUCUUUAAAAAUUGACGGUACACAUGCUUUUAAAUGAGGUCUCAUCUCUGAGUUAGAGUAAACUGUCAAGACUUAAAACUUACUUACUUUACCUUUACCAUGGGACUUGUAACUGUCACUUCUGUCUUGAGUGGUUAAAAGAUAGAACAGUCUAGCCAAGUGCCAUGUCUCUUAUUCUUGAUCAGCUAUAGCUUUAGAGUUUUUGCAGAUUUUCAAAUAAAACUCAGAGAUUCCUUUUAUGAUUCUCUCAGAUCUCUCUUUUGUGGUAUUUCUGGAUCCUUACCAAGGCAGUGAUGGUAUAUGCCUUCUCUGAAGAUAUGUAGUAUUUGUGGUAUAAAGCAUAGUGACAUUGCCUUCUCUCUCACCCUACUCUAAUAAGGCUUUAAUAUCUGGAGCUCAUAGGUGGGAGAUUGUUGACACCGUUUUUGGGCACGUGUCCAUGAUCGGUAAAGUGUAGAUCGGCAAGAUAAGGCGGUGGUACUUGGUCUACAGGGAAAGUUGCCGAUGGAGAUGGUUGCUGAUGGAAGGAUGGUUGAACGUGACUAAGUCCAUAGGUGAUGAUGUGCCUGUGCCGAUGGCUACGACAAGGGAGUUUGCCGAUGAUAUAGGGGAAGAGCCUGGGGGUUGCCGAUCGGUCUAUGGAGGUGUUCCAGUUUGUCACGGGGGGAUAAUUUUAUAUUUUCCUUAAUUAUUUAGAUCGUUCUGUAUACGGAUUCUGUGUAAUUUGGAAUUCGAGUUCUAGUCGUGUCUGGUUGUAGCUCUUUGAGCAGGGUAUAAAUGUAGACCCUAGGGCCUUGUAAUUAGACAUCUAUCAAUCAAUCAAACACAAGUUUUUACUCAUAUUCCAGCAUCUACUUUUCGGCGACUUCGUCAUAUUUUCCUUUUUAUUACGAGUUCUUAAGAAUUCGUCGACUUAAGCUCGACGUGUUCUCGAGUUCCGCGUGAGUACCUCUUGGCAUCCGGGCGCAUCGCUGUUGUCAGGACCAAAGUAUUCGAGUUACCUUCCUUGCCGAUAGUAAGGUCAAAUCGGCUGGCACGCCUUAACGUUUGAAUCGGGUAUUAGCCCUUUGUGUUUGCAGAUCAGCUUUUGCACCAACACAUCUUUUGGCACGCCCAGUGGGACAGAUUCAAGAUCAAGAUCAACAUGUCGACCUCUGAGUUUGAUCAAGAGAACGUCAUCCCCGUGACGGAAGCCAAUCUCAAGGAUGAGCAGAAGCAAGCUAUUCCCAAAGCCAUGGAGGACUACAAGCAGCAAUGCCUGAGGUCCUUCAGCAUGAACAGGAGCGAUGAGGUGAUUCAGAAGGAUGCACUGCCGGCACCUCGGCAGGUUAGUUUUGAAGCCAAUCCUGGCAAACUUCAAGAGAUGGUUGACAGCGCUAUCAACGGUGCUUUGAUCAACCAAGCUGGCGUACUGUCUAAUACGGUUUUCAAUGCCGUGGCAAGAACUUUCAAGGAAGGACAAUUCCCACCAGAUUAUGUGGGCCCCACUUAUCAUCAGCCAGGGUCACCGGUGGUCACAGCUCCAUCGGCUGCUACAGCCGCUGCGGGUUCACAAAACCGUUCCUCUAAGUACGUUGGGAGUUACGAAUACACAAUCUACGACGAUGACGACUAAUCCGCAGACUUCAGAUGGGCAGAUUAAACUCGCUACAGAUCUGUUGGCAUCGGCAAUGUCAGGAUUGACUCCUCCUCCUAACUGGUGGGGUUAUGGUAUGCCUCCAGAGUUAACGCCGGGUACAUCGCAGACAACUGACAUGAGAGGCAAGACUCCUAUGGCAUCGGCACCUCCCAAUGCGCCGGUGAACCAGAGUCCCCGGUAUACUACAACUACUACUACAAGACCUUAUAUUGGGAAUUCUCAAGCUCCAAUGUUCCAGAUGCCUAACGCAUCGGCAGACUCAAUGCUGAAACAACAGAGGUUUACAACUCAACCAGGGUAUGACAGUUCAAUGAUCAUGCCCAAUUACCAGUCAUCGGCAGGGCCUAUGCCGAUGAACGCUAAUAAUGGAUGGCUUGGGCAGCAAGUCUUUCUGCAAAUGCCCCAACAGAAUCACCAGGCUACAGGGUUCCAGCAAGGACAGGUCUAUCCCAGAUUCUAGAAUCAGGGGAUCCCUAACCAGCCAAUGAAUCUCGGGCAGCAAGUCGGCGGACAGCAAAUUGGCGGGCAAUAGCUUGGUGGUCCACAGAUUGGAGGCCAGAUGAUCAACCCAAUGUUCCAUGCAGAUCGUGCACCGCACCGACACGUGGAGGCUUACCAGCAGGUGCCGGAUCCGCAACCUCCUCAUCGGCAAGAUGCCGAUGCUUAUUGGGCUGAUAAUAUUGCUGAAGUAAUGAGGGACCAAUUUGGGAUAAAACCCAAAGUCAAUACUUACUCAUAUCGGACACCGUAUCCUCCCACAUAUGAUUUGAUCCCGCUUCCGCAUCGGUACAAGGUACCGGAUUUUACUAAGUUUUCUGGACAGGAUGACACAUCGACCAUGGAGCACGUCAACAGGUUCAUCAUUCAAUGCGGAGAAGCUGGUAACAGGGACGAGUUGAGGGUUCGCUUAUUCUCGUCAUCGUUGUCUAGAUCGGCUUUCACCUGGUAUAUAUCGUUGCCUCCCAAUUCAGUGAUUACUUGGGCCGAUCUGGAGAAACAAUUCCACAAAUACUUCUUUUUUGGAGUCCAUGAGAAGAAGAUCACCGAUUUGGUCAAAUUAAGGCAACGCAAUGAUGAAUCGGUUGAAAGUUUUGUGCAGAGGAUACGGGAAGUCAAGAAUAAAUGCUAUAGUCUGGUUCUGGAUGAUCUGCAGCUAGCCGAUUUGGCUUUUCAGGGUUUGUUGCCACACAUCAGGGAUAAGUAUGCCUCUCAGGAGUUUGAAAGCUUAAGUCAUUUGGUGUAGAGAAUUUCUGAUCAAGAUAUCAAGCCUUUCGAGCCCAAGAGAGCAUGGAACAGAAAGGUAUCGUUUGUUGAUGAAGCAACAAGCUCAGAUUCUGAUGAGGAACCAGUCAUCGGCUUGGCAGAGUGGGUAAAAAAUAAGAAGCCGAUGUCUUGUCCUUUUGGACAUAAAGAACUAGAGAAGUUCGCGUUUGACACCGCUAAGGCCGAUAGGAUAUUUGACUUUCUACUUCAGGAAGGUCAGAUCAAGCUGUCUCAUAAUCACGUGAUCCCAUCGACUGAGGAGUUAAAGAGGAUGAAAUAUUGCAAGUGGCACAAUGCAACUUCUCACGACACCAAUGAGUGCAAGGUUUUCAGACAGCAGCUGCAAUCGGCUAUAGAGUCUGGGAGAAUCAAAUUUGACGGUUCUAAGACCCAGAAGCCGAUGAAGAUCGAUCAACAUCCUUUCCCAACGAACAUGUUGGAUGCUAAGGGAAAGGCCAAGGUCUUAACAUCGGAAGCAGCCGAAAUAAGUGCAUCAGUGGAUCCUCAGCAUCAGGUCACUACUGCUGAUGUGAGAGGAAGGGGCUUGGUACAGGAAGGAACCAGCUCAGGGAGGCCUCCCCGAUCUGGUAUUGUGAUAACCCAUAGAAGGCCUCGAGAGAAUUGGCAGCAACGAGAAGAUCGGUAUAGGCGCCAGCAAGAGGAUUAUCGUCGGGAAGAAGAGAGACGCCGACAGGAGUGGAAUCGGCAUAGGGAUCACUGGAACUGCCCAUUCUUCAUCCAUUGUUGGGAGGAGAGUACCGAGCUCCCUACCGUCAGAGAUUGUCCUGAAUGCAACGGUUACGAUCGGUAUGAUAGGUCCGAUCGGCGCUAUCACGACGAUAAUCGGCGAUCUAAUGGGCCGAUCAGAGGAAGAGCGUCUGUUCACGAUCGGCUGGGGGGCACGCUCAGCGUGCACGACAGGCUUGGUGAUCGUGUUCAGUAUUUUCCCAGGAACCAGGAAGAGCUCGAAGAAAUGGCUAAUGCACGGGUUCCCGAUGAGUUCAUAUUUUGCAGGGAUGCCAAUACUUAUCGGGUAGAGUCAGGGGGAGAUCGUCGCCCAGGAGCAAGGCAACAGCAGCUUUCUCCCUGGUGUUCAGAGGGGUUGACCAGGACACAGAAAAGGAGGCUGCAGCGUGAAAGGCGAGAAGGGUUAAGCAAGGGCGAGAACUCUGGCCAGUCUGGGGAUUAGCAGCAAUCAGAUCCCAAGGGGGAAGGUCCAUCGGCAGAUGUCAACAUGGUCAUUAUGUUGCCGAUGGAGUUCCUUGCGCCAUCCAGUGAUGAUGAGUUAGAGUUCUCCGACCAAAUAGCUCAAUUGGCUCUGGAUCCGAUGACAGCUAUCUUCGAGAAGCCUGCCGAUGAUGAAAGGCAACAUCUCAAGGCUCUAUUUGUCAAAGGAAGGGUUGAUGGGCAGCCGAUGACCAAGAUUCUAGUUGAUGGUGGGGCUGCUAUCAACAUCAUGCCAUAUGUAGUGUAUCAGAAGCUUGGGAAAGGGGAUCAGGAUCUAACCAAGACUGAUAUGAUGCUUAUAGACUUUGAAGGGAAUGUGUCUCCGGUCAAGGGGGCAAUAUGUGCAGAGUUGACCAUCGGUAGCAAAACCUUGCCGACAACCUUCUUUGUGAUCAGUGGAAAGGGUGCUUACAACUUGCUAUUGGGAAGAGAUUGGAUUCAUGCUAAUUGUUGCAUCCCGUCUACAAUGCACCAAUGCUUGGUUCAGUGGGUAGGUGACAAGAUUGAAAUUGUCCCAGGAGAUUCUUCUUACGUCAUCGCAUCGGCAGAGGCGGAUACCUAUGAAAGGACUAGGUGUAUUUUAGGAGAGGUUUGGGAAAAAGAUUUUCUCAAGGUUGCCGAUUAUGAAAUUCCACCGAUCCAAGCAGUCGGUUCUGAGGAUGGUUUUUAAUGGAUAGGUUCGCCGAUGAUGGAAAAUUAGGCCAGGGGUUCACAUCGGCCGAUGAUUUAAUAGAAGUAGAUAUAGGUAGUGGUGAUAAACCUAGACCUACUUUUAUUAGUGCCAAGUUAGAUUGUGAGUGUAAGCAACAGUUAACUGAUUUGUUAAGGGAAUAUAAAGAUUGCUUUGCUUGAGAUUAUACUGAGAUGCCUGGUUUAGACCGAUCAAUUGUUGAACAUCGGUUGCCUAUCAAGUCUGGAUUUCGGCCACAUCAGCAGCCGGCUCGCCGAUGUAAUCCUAAUACUCUCCCUGAUAUUAAGGCCGAGAUAACCAAACUUAUUGAAGCCAAGUUUAUUCGGCAGUGUCGGUAUGCCGAAUGGAUUUCCAAUGUUUUCCAGUAUACAAGAAGAACGGGAAGCUUCGGGUCUGCAUUGAUUUUAGGAAUCUUAAUAAAGCUACGCCGAUGGAUGGGAACCCAAUGCCAGUUGCCGAUCUGUUGGUUGAUGCUGCGGCUGGGCAUCGGAUUAUUAGCUUUAUGGAUGGCAAUGCAGGGUACAAUCAAAUAUUCAUGGCUGAAGAAGAUAUUCCGAAGAUCGCGUUCAGGUGCCCUGGUCUUGUUGGAUUGUUUGAGUGGAUAGUCAUGACUUUUGGCCUAAAGAAUGCUGGUGCUACUUAUCAAAGGGCCAUGAAUUUUAUAUUUCAUGAGUUCAUCGGCAAGCUGGUAGAGAUUUAUAUUGAUGAUGUGGUGGUCAAGUCUGGAAACUUCAGAAAGCAUCUUGCCGAUUUACGAAAGGUGUUGGAAUGCACAAGGAAGCACGGUUUGAAAAUGAAUCCCAAUAAGUGUGCAUUUGGUGUAUCGGCAGGGCAAUUUCUUGGUUUCAUGGUGCACCAGAGGGGAAUUGAAAUCAGUCAGAGAUCUAUUGAUGCCAUCAAUAAGAUAGUAGCCCCUACCAACAAGACCGAGCUCCAAUCCUUGAUCGGCAAGGUAAAUUUUAUCAGAAGGUUCAUAUCUAACUUGUCUGGUAAAAUUCGUGCUUUCAGCCCUCUUCUUAAGUUAAAGGCCGAUCAAGAGUUUGUUUGGGGGAAGGAACAACAGUUGGCUCUAGAUGAAAUCAAGAAUUAUUUAGUAAAUCCUCCAGUUCUAAUUCCACCUCAGCAAGGGAAGCCCUUCAGAUUUUAUUUGUCUACCGAUGGGAUGGUCAUCGGUUCGGCUUUAAUUCAAGAGUUUGAAGGGAAGGAGCGUGUAAUUUAUUAUUUAAGCAGAAGGUUGAUUGAUGCUGAGACCAGAUAUUCGUCUAUCGAGAAACUGUGCUUGUGUUUAUAUUUCUCUUGUAUCAAGUUAAGGCACUACUUGUUAUCGGCCGAAUGCACUGUUAUUUGCAAGGAUGAUGUGGUCCGAUACAUGCUAUCCAUGCCGAUUAUGAGUGGCAGGAUCGGUAAAUAGAUUUUGGCGCUGUCGGAAUUCGAUUUGCGUUAUGAAUCGGCUAAGGCAGUUAAAGGGCAGAUUAUGGCCGAUUUUGUAACUCAACAUUGCGGUACAGUGGAGACUUUGGAAAUUGUGCCUUGGACGCUCUUCUUUGAUGGGUCCACAUGUGACCGGGGGGCAGGAAUCGGCAUAGUAUUAGUUUCCCCUCGAGGAAAGAAGUAUGAAUUUUCCUUGCCAAUUGCUGCCACGUCGACGAAUAAUCAAGCUAAGUAUCAAGCCUUGAUAAAGGGGUUAGAGUUGUUGAGAGAAGUCCAUGCUGAUGCCGUUGAGGUUUUCGGGGAUUCUUUGCUAGUUAUAAAUCAAUUGGCUGGGAGCUAUGAAUGCCGGAGUGAAGCUCUCAUAACUUAUUAUGAGAGGAGUAUGCAGCUGUUAAAAGAAUUCAAAGACUUCUGAUUAGAGCAUGUUCCUCGAUUGCAUAAUGAAGAGGCUAAUCGGUUAGCUCAGCAUGCCUCGGGAUAUCAGCCUAUGAUUAGUACGGUAUCGGCAAUUGGUGCCGAUGAUUGGAGAAAAGAGAUCAUUGAUUAUUUGAAGGAUCCAUCUAAGAAAGUUGAAAGGCGGGUUCGGUUUCAAGCUACUAAGUAUGUGCUCCUCGAAGAUGAAUUGUAUUAGCGAACUAUUGAUGGGAUUCUUCUCCGAUGCUUGGGUGAUGAUGAAGCUAGAAGUUUGAUGGGAGAAAUCCAUGAAGGGGUAUGUGGAGCACAUCAGUCGGCUUUCAAGAUGAAGUGGAUGAUUAGGAGGAAUGGAUAUUACUGGCCGACCAUACUCGAGGAUUGCUUUAAGUAUUUCAAAGGGUGUCAAGGCUGUCAAAAGUUUGGCAAUUGUUGACACUUGCUAACACCACUUGAAUACUAGGUUGUUAUCCCCAGCGUGGCACUAGAGUGUACUAUGGUAUUUAUACGCACACAGAUAAUCCGCAAGCGCACGGAUACCAUUGAAGCUUUUACCCGGUUAAAGGUUUUAUCGUAUCCACAGGGAAACGGGAGAACCAACUACGCUCUAACUUAACCAAGAUAGAUAGAUAGGUGUAAAUAGGAAAGAUGAUAGAAUCGAAUAAGAACAAUAUUAAAGGUAAGAUAACAGUGAGUGAUAAUAUGAGAAUAGAGAAUAGAGCAAUCCUAGUAUAUGGGCGAUGGUAGCAGAAUAGAGAGGAUAACUAUGGUUUCUCUACUUCAAAGGGGUAUGUCUAUGUCUGGGACGAACCAUGUGAUAAGAGUACACCACAAAGGAUGCUUAUCCAUAGGCCGAUAAACCCUACCCGUCCUGCUAACGAGAGGUGGACUACAGGGGACCAACGUAACUGUCACCUACGCGGCCUACCACACGAUCCAGCUAGUCAGGGGAUAUCCACAAGUAAUCUAGGUCUAAGCACCACGCUUACACCUAUACUACAACUCUAACCUAUAGGGUCCAAUAGAUUAGAAGUACUCAAAAGAGUUGUGAACCAGAACAUACAUGAUUAGUAAUUGCAUAAUGAAUUAGAAGUAGAUUACCAGAGUCAUCCCAUGAGCAAGCUUGAUUAGAGCUUGAUCAUGGCGAAGUACAACCGGAGGAAGAACCGACAGGCCGGCCUCUCCUCUAAUCCUCCUUCGCUCUCCAUCUCGCUACUAUCUAGAUCUACUCUAGUUUAGAGAAGAGAGGAGAGCACUCAUCUCUAAUCCCUAGCUUUUGCUCUGUCUAUGAAUAAUGAAUAAUGAUCAAGGGGUGCCUCCUCCAGGGGCCAGGGGGUCUGGUUUUAUAGUCCCCUCAAGUGAACCUGGGCCGUCGGAUCAAACCGACAUUGAUUGAACGGUUAUUCUUGAUCCUUUAGGUCGGUGGAGCAUAAUCCGCGAGAUUGAGCGUGAUUGGCCAUAGGAGGUGGGCGGGCGCCCAGUAGCACAGGGCGGGCGCCCUGUCUCUGGCCCCGAUUCGCCUCCGCUUCGGUCUCGUGGCUUCUGGAGUCUUCUAGAUGUAAGAUAAUUGCGCGGCACGUUAAUAUCUUUACGUAAUCCCGACGUGUGGGCCUUUCUUCCUUAUUUCCUGAUAACUCCCUGCAGAAAUAGACAAACACCAAAACUCGUGGAAUUCUGUCAGAUAAAUCCCUAAGUCUGGAUGUUGAUUUCAUUUGGAUCCUUUUCUUUAUUUAUUUGAUAAUUAAAUUUGAUACUUAAGGACCGUCAACAGCAAUAUUCAAAGAGCACCCGCAUCGGCUAUGAAUCCUAUUAUCAAACCUUGGCCGUUCCGGGGAUGGGCUAUUGAUUUGAUCGGCCAGAUUUAUCCACCAUCUAGCAAAGGGCAUAAGUUUAUUCUAGUUGCCACCGAUUAUUUCACUAAAUGGGUUGAAGCUAUUCCUUUGAAGAAAGUCACAUCGGCCAAUAUGAUUGAUUUUGUAAAGGAGCAUAUUAUUUACUGAUUUGGGAUUCCUCAAACGAUUACUACCGGUCAAGGCACUAUGUUUACAUCAGGGGAGUUUGAUGAAUUCGCAAUCGGUAUGGGGAUUAAAGUGUUAAACUCUUCUCCUUAUUAUGCUCAGGUUAAUGGGCAUACAUUGUUAAAUGAAGCCUUAUGGUCAUACCGGAUGGCUUGUCAUGGAUCGACUAAAGUUUCACCUUAUCAGUUGGUGUAUGGACAUGAUGCAGUGUUGCCUUGGGAAAUUAAGGCUGGAUCUAGGCGAUUGUCUUUUCAAGAUCAGUUGGCUGCCGAUGAUUAUGCUACUUUGAUGACAGACGAGUUGGAUGAUCUAGCAGGGCAUCGGCUGAGGGCUUUGAUGAGUAUAGAAGAAAAUAAGAAGAGAGUUGCAAGAUGGUAUGACAAGAAAGUCAAGGCUAAGGAAUUUGCCAACGGAGACUUGGUAUGGAAAUUGAUUUUACCGAUCGGGACUAAAAGUUCGAAGUUUGGGAAGUGGUCUCCCAAUUGGGAGGGUCCCCAUCGGAUAAGACGAUCGGCUCCUGGUAACGCCUACAUUUUAGAAACUCUCGAAGGAGUCGAAUUUCCCAGAGCAUUAAAUGGCAAAUAUUUAAAGAAAUACUACCCCAGCAUAUGGGUCGAUGCAUAAAGACUUAAAUGCCGAUAACACUCCUAUCGGCUAGAUUAAAAUGUAUCUGGGGCCGGACUUAAUGUUUCAAAAGUUGCCGAUAACAGUCCUAUCGGCUAGACUAAAACAACAAGAAAGCUAAAGAGCGGAAAGAGGCAGGUGUGUUGCCGAUGAAGAGCUCACAUGCUUAGCAGCGCCUGGAACGCCGAUAUGGCGCGCAGCCGGAUUUGGUUGGCUGCUUCUAUCUCUUUGACAUCGUCAUCGGCAGAACCUUCUAUCGGCUUCAGCUUUUUCUUCAACUGCAAUGCCUUGCGACCGUGGGCGUUUCGUUCUUGCUCAAGGAGCUUGAUGGCCUCUGGCAGUUGGCUCUCUUCCUGUUGGGCUUGGGAUAGGGCGUCCUCCACUUGCUUGAGUUCUGCCAACAGGGCUUCUCUUUUUGCCGAUAGGUCGGAGAUCUUCUGCUUCAGCGCGUCUCCUAAAGAUCUCAAGAUGCCGAUGUUCUUGUGCUUCUCAUCGGUCAGGAGUUUCUCUUUCAUCAUCUCCUCAGAAAGCUGGGUUUGAGCAGCUCUAUCGGCAAGGCACCGGGAGGCUCUCUGGUACUGCAGCUGACGACUCUCCAGAUGUGCGGCUUGGAAGAGGAUUUCUUCGACAUCGGCAGGAAUCUGGCCUCUGAGCGUCUUGAACAGAACUUUGGCUGGGUCAGAGUCAUCGACCAGUUGAGCCAUGUCUUGAUGGAGGAGAGCCAACAGUUCUUCUAGCUUAGCCCUGAUCUCUGCCGACGCGAUCCCAACUGCCCGGGAGGAGCUUGCUUCCUCACCUUCAUCUUCGGAGAUAUCAAUGGCAAAGGAAAAUAAGCUGUCGGGAGAAUCCUGUUCCUGAAAAAGAAAAAAAAAGUGAGUCAUUCUAUAGUCAGGACAUCGGCAAAUAACAUUGAUGGAGAUCGGAUGGCUUACUUGCUUCAAGGCAAUUUCUCGCCUUUGACUGGAAGAUGCCGAUGGAGCCGCAGAUAGAUCGGCCAGGAUUGCCGAUGGAACGACGUCAGCUAAAAAUUGACCACAGGGGUUAUGAGACUGAAAAAGAAUAAGUUCAUCGGUGGUGAUGUUAUAAAAAAUGUGUUACCUUGAGGAGGGACGAUGCUUGUCUGGAUUGAGGAAACUACCGAUGACAUGAUUGAACCUGCCGGAUCGAUAGUUUGCUCGCCUACAUCGGCUGAUGUGUCUUCUGGCUAGGGUGCUUCUACUUGGGGUUCUUCUUGCUGGGGUUCGUCUGCUUCUGGUGCUUCUUGCGGUCGAGGGGGAGAUGGUACUUGCUGAGUCUCUACGUCUGGAGGAGAAGGAGAAGAUUCCACCGGAAUGGGAGAUACCGGAUGAGGAGGAGGAGUCGCCACUUUCUGGCGCUUUGUUUGUGCCCUGGUACUCCUGGCACCCUUUCUCUUUUGCUGGCUGGACUAGGGUGCAUCGGCACCUUGGCUCUUGGUUCUUGCCGAUGCACUAGUUUGCUGUUACAGAAGAAAGAAUUUGUGGGUAUCAAUACAGCCGAUGUAAAAAUAAGAUCGGUAUGAAUGAAGAGGCCUAACAGUUACCUUAAAAGCCUAUGCUAGAGUGGAGGCGGUUACCGAUGGUGGUGUCUGAGUUCUCCUGGUGGUAACUUUCUUGAGGCGUAUACCUCGAUGCACGAUGGCAGCCAAGGUAGGGGCAUUGUGGCCGAUUGAAGAGAUUGGACCUGAUGCAAACAGAUCAAUCGGCUUGCCACUUCUACUGACCGAUGGAGGGGUGUUAUCGACCUGCAAAAUAAUACAAAAGUAAGUCACCGAUGAAAAUGAAAUUGGAAGAAUUGGAACAUCAGUUUGAAGACACUUACAGUAUCAUCGGGGACUUUGUACUCGGGGUCGAUCAUACCGCGGUACGUGAGGGCCGAUUUGCAGAAUAGAUGCUCCUUCCAUUCUGCCCACCACUGCUUGUACGCCUGAGUGAUGAAGGCGGCUGGAACCCACUCUGAUAAGUCUACGUCUGUAUCGGCACCCGAUGGCACUUGGGCUACUCGAAUCCAUUCCAGGAGGCUGGUAAUGGUUUCCCUGGGCUUUAUUACAUCGGCGUAGCAGAGUGCAAUCGGCAGCUGGCCGAAAGCUAACUGACGAGCUAAUGCCGAUGGAUUGUAGAACUCAUAAGUCUGGGGAGAGGUUUUCCCACUACCGAAGAAGUUCACUGGUAUGGCUCUGGGGGUCACCAAAGCCAUCAUCACUUUGUUAUCCUUGUCAAGGGCAUCGUUGAACGGGUUAAAAACCAGGGGAAGCAUACUGUCUGGGUCAUCGUAGGCCAACCACGCUCGCUCAUCUCUGCCAAAACCCUCAUACAAAGUUUGGAAGAAUCGGCUGACCUGAUCUGGAUUACCCCCUGUACCAGGCAGAACUAUGACAGCUUCACCGAAGUUCAAGGGAGCGCGUGUUGCCGAUUCCUCUUCAUCCAACACAUGGUUUUCGGCUAUGUCUCUUGGAAAACGCUGUGUGAACAGGUCAAACUCAAGGCGCUUGUGCAGAUGCAGAUUGAGCCACAUAUUGAUGAACCACCAGGGGCCUCCCAAGUUGCCGAUAGACUGGCCGAGCAAGAGUUUCCUAGUCACUUGGUGAAGGAGGUGGUAGGCUGCACCAAGCAGGUAUCGGCCGAGGGGGAAUCAGCCACCAUUGGCCAGAUUUUCAGCUGCCGCUAAGUGGACCGAGGUUGGUCCUGCUGAUCACCCGCAAAACACGAACUUAUCUAGCCACAUGUUCAGGAAACAGGUCUGCUCUUUUAUGUUGAUAGGGCCUGUUCGUUUAUAUUUCUGAAUAUACCCUGACCAACCGCCGAUGGAGCGAGUUUCUACCUUGGCACUGGGCUUGGUGUCGAAAAAAUGGGUGCUAUCGGCAGAAGAUACAUCUAGGCCGGUAAGCAUAGCCACAUCGGCAAGAGUAGGGGAAGCAGGGCCGUGGCCAAAGACAAAGGCGUUGAGCGUGUCUGACCAGAAGUAUGAUGCGGCUAUCAGCAGUGACUCAUUUCUAUGCAUAUCGGCAAUGGAUAACCUAAUGCAUUGAUCUAGCUUUCUUUCACCCCAUUGGACUUCAUUUGAGUUGCUGACCCUCAAAAACCAAUCUGUCCAUCCUACAGUAGGGCUGGGCCAAGAACGGAAAGUAUCCUUCCACAGAUCCAAAGAAAAGUUCUUGGCCCUAAAAGGAAUCCUGUUGGUUUCUGCGUUAAUGAGAUUGGUUGGAUCUGGAUCCCCUAAUGGGCCAAGGCAUUGGAGAUGUGGUUGAUCGGUGGGGAUAACAAUUUUAUCGGACAAUUCCUAGUGGUUUUGGAGGUAGAGAGGGAGAAACAAAGAAAAAAGGAAAUAUUCAGUAAGAUGGAUUGCGGAUGAACAAAGGUGCGAGAAAAGUACGGGAGAUGGAGUGAAGAACUGACCUCCGGAACAAUGAAGUUGACGGCCAUCUUGCCACGGGGAGGACGAUCGGAGGCUCCGUAGUUGGUGAAGAAGAGAUGUCGUCGGGGAUCUUGGAGACCUUGAAAGGCGCCGCCGCUGGGAAAGUAAAGUUGGGAUGGUGGAAUGAUGUGAUGGAGAAGAAGUACCCGAGAAGGAACUAUUUAUAGGACAAAACGGGCAAGGGCAAAAUUGACUUAUCUCUUCGCCGUGUCCGUGAAAUCCGAGGGUGCUCAGGUAGAUAUGGCAACUCUUCGCACGGUAAUCAAGGGAUUGUGCAGGCGAUUUGACAGGAAACGGUCAUUAUCCAGAGAUAUUUUACUGUGCAGGAUCUCCUGGUCGGUCCAUCGGCAGCGUCCUGUAACGGUCAUAUUGCCGAUGAGCGAAUAGAGUCGAGAUAGCCGUUUGGGAAGAUAAGAUACGGGUGUCCUGGUCAGUACAUCGGUAAGUCCCUAUAACGGUAAUACUGCUGAUGCAUGACUAAAAUGGAAAUGUCCGUUGAGGGAAGUUGAGGAUUUCGAGGGAUCUGCGGAAGGAUAGGAUCAGAGUUGUUCAGAUUAAGGCUGUCGGUUGCCAGAUUAGGAGCAUUAAUUGCGGAAAAAGGCAUCAUUACUGCAGAGAAUUUUGGAGCAUUAAUGAUUCUAUACUCCGAAAUUGGGGGGCAUGUGUUGACACCGUUUUUGGGCACGUGUCCAUGAUCGGUAAAGUGUAGAUCGGCAAGAUAAGGCGGUGGUACUUGGUCUACAGGGAAAGUUGCCAAUGGAGAUGGUUGCCGAUGGAAGGAUGGUUGAACGUGACUAAGUCCAUAGGUGAUGAUGUGCCUGUGCCGAUGGCUGCGACAAGGGAGUUUGCCGAUGAUAUAGGGGAAGAGCCUGGGGGUUGCCGAUCGGUCUGUGGAGGUGUUCCAGUUUGUCACGAGGGGAUAAUUUUAUAUUUUCCUUAAUUAUUUAGAUCGUUCUGUAUACGGAUUCUGUGUAAUUUGGAAUUCGAGUUCUAGUCGUGUCUGGUUGUAGCUCUUUGAGCAGGGUAUAAAUGUAGACCCUAGGGCCUUGUAAUUAGACAUCUAUCAAUCAAUCAAACACAAGUUUUUACUCAUAUUCCAGCAUCUACUUUUCGGCGACUUCGUCAUAUUUUCCUUUUUAUUACGAGUUCUUAGGAAUUCGUCGACUUAAGCUCGACGUGUUCUCGAGUUCCGCUUGAGUACCUCUUGGCCGUGACAUCUGGGCGCAUCGCUGUUGUCAGGACCAAAGUAUUCGAGUUACCUUCCUUGCUGAUAGUAAGGUCAAAUCGGCUGGCACGCCUUAACGUUUGAAUCGGGUAUUAGCCUUUUGUGUUUGCAGAUCAGCUUUUGCACCAACAGAGAUAAAAUAUACAUACUUACAAGACAUUUAUUGUAUAGUCAAACCAUGGAUCCAAAGAAACAAAUCAAUAAGUCAAAUCAAGAUGUGCAUGUAUGGCGAAUGAAUGGUGUAUCGUGAUGAUGGUGAUAACAAUGGUGAAAGUCUAAUUCUACUUUUGCUCUUUGAGGGGAUACAUACCUUCCUUGCUUUUUGAAACUUUUUGAGGAGAAUGAGAUGCUCUUCUUUUUCUUUUCUCUCUGGCGGGUAUCUUGUACCCCUAAUUCUACUGUCGGACACUUGUCCAUUUUUACCUCUCGUCUCACUUUUUUCCUUUCUUUCGAGGUUCCGUGCACUUGCCCCUUUUUAUUUCCUCGUAUCUUUUUUUCUUCUUUUUUUAGAGCACUCAUCUCUUGAGAUAAUAUAGCAAGUGGUAGUAUCAAGAUAACUUGAGCAUUUAUUUCACAAAGAAAAAAACAGAAAUAUUUUUGACUAUUCUUUCCCGGAUUAGGAGUAGAAUAUUUUUAGGUGAUUCUGGAGAUGGAAAUGGAUGGAUAUAUGUGGAUGGUACUUCCGGAGUAGAAGUAGCAUAUAUGAGUGAACGUGCAAGUGAAUCUUGAUUUAACCACAUGACAAGCUCCUAAGGGUCUACACAGCUUGACCACACUCAAUGCUCAUAAGCAGUAAAUAUUAAAUGUGUGGCUCAAAGUCUAGCAAGCAUGUAUAUAUGGCUGUGGUAGGAAUUUAAACUCUCAUCAUACAGGAACUCAUCAUGCAACAUUUUAAAGAUUUUCAAAGAUAAAAUUCUCCAGAAUUCUAGCAUCUCUAGGAAC